rnacentral:sRNA from 2 species
CGCGGGAUUCCUGAUUAACCUGGAAAAAUUCCCAUCGUACCUAGUCCACGUGGAGGGUGUGCUUUAGAGGGGACUGGAUGUGUGCACCUGAUAUCGAUUUUGUUUUUACUAUCAGCUUCCCUCUGGCCAAACACCCCCCCGAAUAGCUUUCGUGGUGCAGUGACCUCGCCCUAUACAGAUGGAUAAUCAAUGGAGAACUACAGGUCGAUCUGCCAGGCAAAUCAAUAGUGAUGGCUACAAAUCUACAGGUGGUAGUCAAAGGGCCAAAUGUUUCGGAAAGCUCUCAAUAACUACUUCUUUACGAACAUGUGGCUAAUCUUGGGUAGUUAGUUACAGAGGUAGGGAAGGAGGGAAUUACCAAGGGAAAAAAAAAAAAACACUACAGGCCAAAAUAGUUCCAAUUAGUCUCAAUUUAGAAUAUAGAAUAACUAGCCCGACAUCCCCUGUUAUCCAACCACUUUUUUCAAACCUCAGGCUUGCA